UACGCAGGUGGCAAGCGUUGUCCGGAAUUAUUGGGCGUAAAGCGCGCGCAGGCGGCCUCUUAAGUCUGAUGUGAAAGCCCCCGGCUCAACCGGGGAGGGCCAUUGGAAACUGGGAGGCUUGAGUAUAGGAGAGAAGAGUGGAAUUCCACGUGUAGCGGUGAAAUGCGUAGAGAUGUGGAGGAACACCAGUGGCGAAGGCGACUCUUUGGCCUAUAACUGACGCUGAGGCGCGAAAGCGUGGGGAGCAAACAGG
rnacentral:rRNA from 1 species